UACGUAGGAUGCAAGCGUUGUUCGGAAUUACUGGGCGUAAAGAGUACGUAGGCGGUUUGGUAAGUCUGAUAUUAAAGACCGGAGCUCAACUUCGGGACUGUAUCGGAAACUGUCAGACUAGAGGACAAUAGAGGAAGUCGGAAUUCUCAGUGUAGCGGUGAAAUGCGUAGAUAUUGGGAAGAACACCAGUGGCGAAAGCGGACUUCUGGGUUGUUACUGACGCUGAGACGCGAAAGCGUGGGGAGCGAACAGG
rnacentral:rRNA from 1 species